UAAGCCAUGCGAGUCAACAUAGCAAUAUGUGGCAUACGGCUCAGUAACACGUAGUCAACAUGCCCAGGGGACGUGGAUAACCUCGGGAAACUGAGGAUAAACCGCGAUAAGUCACUACUUCUGGAAUGGGUAAUGACUCAAAUCUAUAUGGCCCCUGGAUUGGACUGCGGCCGAUCAGGCUGUUGGUGAGGUAAUGGCCCACCAAACCUGUAACCGGUACGGGCUCUGAGAGGAGGAGCCCGGAGAUGGGCACUGAGACAAGGGCCCAGGCCCUAUGGGGCGCAGCAGGCGCGAAACCUCUGCAAUAGGCGAAAGCCUGACAGGGUUACUCUGAGUGAUUUCCGUUAAGGAAAUCUUUUGGCACCUCUAAAAAUGGUGCAGAAUAAGGGGUGGGCAAGUCUGGUGUCAGCCGCCGCGGUAAUACCAGCACCCCGAGUGGUCGGGACGUUUAUUGGGCCUAAAGCAUCCGUAGCCGGUUCUACAAGUCUUCCGUUAAAUCCAACUGCUUAACAGGUGGGCUGCGGAAGAUACUAUAGAGCUAGGAGGCGGGAGAGGCAAGCGGUACUCGAUGGGUAGGGGUAAAAUCCGUUGAUCCAUUGAAGACCACCAGUGGCGAAGGCGGCUUGCCAGAACGCGCUCGACGGUGAGGGAUGAAAGCUGGGGGAGCAAACCGGAUUAGAUACCCGGGUAGUCCCAGCUGUAAACGAUGCAGACUCGGUGAUGAGUUGGCUAUAUGCCAACUCAGUGCCGCAGGGAAGCCGUUAAGUUUGCCGCCUGGGGAGUACGGUCGCAAGACUGAAACUUAAAGGAAUUGGCGGGGGAGCACCACAAGGGGUGAAGCCUGCGGUUCAAUUGGA
rnacentral:rRNA from 1 species